GGGUCUUUAGCUCAACGGUAGAGCACACGCCUCUUAAGCGUUAGGUUGUGAGUUCGAAUCUCACAAGACCCA
rfam:Candidatus Melainabacteria bacterium RIFCSPLOWO2_12_FTLL_35_11 rifcsplowo2_12_scaffold_2788, whole genome shotgun sequence.